ACGUUGGAUGAAGGCAUCUGGACACUGUGUAGGGACACGGGAAUGCAAAGUCAUGCACAUGACUGUGACUGAUGCACUAUUUCCAGGACAUGGAGUAGCAUUUCGGGACCUACAGCAAGACGUUGGAUGAAGGCACAGGCCUAGGAAUCAUGCACAUACACAGAAACAUUUGCCCAAAUUCUAGAGGUAACCUCCUUUAGUAUGCCCAGAGGAAGGGCCAUACAGUAGCCAUGGAUUCCCUACAGGUUUCCUCCCCUCUGGAGGUUUUUCCUGUCCUGAGUAUUAGUUACUGUACGCUCUUUGUGAGUGAUGGGAGGUUACAAAAAAUCCCCUACACAAACAUUUUAAUAAAUAAUAAAUAAAGUUCCCCUUUUUUUAAACUGUUC